UAGGGAAUCUUCGGCAAUGGGGGCAACCCUGACCGAGCAACGCCGCGUGAGUGAAGAAGGUUUUCGGAUCGUAAAGCUCUGUUGUAAGAGAAGAACGUGUGUGAGAGUGGAAAGUUCAUACAGUGACGGUAACUUACCAGAAAGGGACGGCUAACUACGUGCCAGCAGCCGCGGUAAUAGGUAGGUCCCGAGCGUUGUCCGGAUUUAUUGGGCGUAAAGCGAGGGCAGGCGGUUUAAUAUGUCUGAAGUUAAAGGCAGUGGCUUAACCAUUGUUCGCUUCAGAAACUGUUGAACUUGAGUGCAGAAGAGGAGAGUGGAAUUCCAUGUGUAGCGGUGAAAUGCGUAGAUAUAUGGAGGAACACCGGUGGCGAAAGCGGCUCUCUGGUCUGUAACUGACGCUGAGGCUCGAAAGCGUGGGGAGCAAACAGG
rnacentral:rRNA from 1 species